rnacentral:rRNA from 1 species
GACGUAGGGCGCGAGCGUUGUUCGGAAUUAUUGGGCGUAAAGGGCGCGUAGGCGGUGCGGUAAGUCUGAUGUGAAAUCUCCGGGCUCAACUCGGAGUCUGCAUCAGAAACUGCCGUGCUUGAGUGUGGGAGAGGUGAGUGGAAUUCCCGGUGUAGCGGUGAAAUUCGUAGAUAUUCGCAAGAACACCAGUGGCGAAGGCGGCUCACUGGCCCGAUACUGACGCUGAGGCACGAAAGCGUGGGGAGCAAACAGG